UACGGGGGGGGUAAGCGUUGUUCGGAAUUACUGGGCGUAAAGGGCUCGUAGGCGGCCAACUAAGUCGGACGUGAAAUCCCUCAGCUUAACUGGGGAACUGCGUCCGAUACUGGAUGGCUUGGAUUUGGGAGAGGGAUGCGGAAUUCCAGGUGUAGCGGUGAAAUGCGUAGAUAUCUGGAGGAACACCGGUGGCGAAGGCGGCGUCCUGGACCAACACUGACACUGAGGAGCGAAAGCCAGGGGAGCAAACGGG
rnacentral:rRNA from 1 species